GCCGGGGUGACCGAGUGGUUUAAGGUGUCAGCCUUAAGAUCUGAUGUGGAAACACGCCUGGGUUCAAACCCCAGUCCCGGCA
rnacentral:tRNA from 1 species